UGAGGAAUAUUGGUCAAUGGGGGCAACCCUGAACCAGCCAAGUCGCGUGAAGGAUGAAGGUCUUAUGGAUUGUAAACUUCUUUUACACGGGAAUAAAGCGGGGGACGUGUCCCUCUUUGCAUGUACCGUGUGAAUAAGGAUCGGCUAACUCCGUGCCAGCAGCCGCGGUAAUACGGAGGAUCCGAGCGUUAUCCGGAUUUAUUGGGUUUAAAGGGUGCGUAGGCGGCGAUAUAAGUCAGUGGUGAAAUAUUUCGGCUUAACCGAGAGACUGCCAUUGAUACUGUGUUGCUAGAAUAUGGUUGCUGUGAGUGGAAUGUGUGGUGUAGCGGUGAAAUGCUUAGAUAUCACACAGAAUAUCGAUUGCGAAGGCAGCUCACAAAGCCAUUAUUGACGCUGAGGCACGAAAGUGUGGGGAUCAAACA
rnacentral:rRNA from 1 species